rnacentral:piRNA from 1 species
UACCUAAAGCUUGUGAGACAUGUUGGGU